rnacentral:lncRNA from 1 species
GUUGACAUAUCCAGUAUAGGAGUGCCCUGGGAGCCCAUCUCUCAUUUCUGAAAGAGAUAGCAUUGUAGAUCUGGACGUUUCAUCACAUAUUCCCAGGAAGGCCCAGCCAAAUGCAGCUGGCACUGUGCCAGACAUUGGGCUAGGUGCUGGGAAUUGAAAUAAUAAACUAUUUCCUGAUUUCUCUUCUCUCUUCUGGAGAAAGAAUUGGAUUAGAACAAGGUAUGGUUCUCACUGGCACGGGGAUUGGGCAAGGCUGUCUGCAAGAGGCAGACAUCAGCUUGGGCAAUGGGGUCAAGUUGGGGAUGGCAGGCCCUGGCUGAUACAAUACUUAUAUUUUACCUGAAAUCUGUGUUUAUUUUCUAUCUUGAACCUGGUAUUGUUUAUAUUUGAUAAGCAAAUUUUAUGUUUUAAGUAAUUCCUAGACAUACAGUUAGGACAUUUUGCAGGGGAGGGCUUUUGAUUUUUAAUCCUAAAAGCAUUAGUUUGUCUGUAUUGCCGGGCUUGACAAUCACAUAAAAUAAGUGUAUUUCAAAUCACUCAAUAGGAGUGGCUGCAAAUAGGGGAAAGAACAUGAUCUAUUACUACUUUGGAUUACUACUUUUUACUGGCAAACCAUAAAUCACAGUGGGGAAGCCACAGUGGAGUAUAAGGAACUUAAAUCAUGGCAAGAGUGAUUUAAGGUCAGUCAGUGCAGCAGAUAAUCUGGAGAGAUGAUCCCACUCAUAACCCUUUAAGACAUGACACUUGGUAAACUACCUAACUCAUAAGGGUGUCCUGGCAGUGAACCUCCACACCUCCUGGUUGGGGUGUGUGCUCCAUCUCACCCAGCUUAAGUAGGCCUGAAAGACCACCCUGUUCUCUCAGGCAAGAGUAUUCCUCUUCA